AAUAAACCAAUUUUUUACUUUUUACCUAUAAUUUUUGACCAUUUGUCUUAUUCAAAAAUUUUUUGCGAUCAAUAUUUUUAUUUUUAUUAGAUGAUAAAUCAUGAAUAGUACUUUACAUGUGACUAAUUUUUUUCUAAUUUCUUAAAAAAUUUUCAAAUAAAAUGAAUGGUAAAACGUUGGACACGGAAACCGGAG
rnacentral:pre_miRNA from 1 species